rnacentral:rRNA from 1 species
UACGGGGGGGGUAAGCGUUGUUCGGAAUUACUGGGCGUAAAGGGCUCGUAGGCGGCCAACUAAGUCAGACGUGAAAUCCCUCAGCUUAACUGGGGAACCGCGUCUGAUACUGGAUGGCUUGGAUCCGGGAGAGGGAUGCGGAAUUCCAGGUGUAGCGGUGAAAUGCGUAGAUAUCUGGAGGAACACCGGUGGCGAAGGCGGCAGCCUGGACCGGUAUUGACGCUGAGGAGCGAAAGCCAGGGGAGCAAACGGG